rfam:Nicotiana sylvestris Nsyl_contig75487, whole genome shotgun sequence.
AUUCGUUGGAUGAGUGUGAGGUGUUGGAUCUAUUUCACUCAAUCCAAGCCUCACAUUCAUCAGAGGUUCGU